rnacentral:snoRNA from 1 species
AAGACUAUACUUUCAGGAAUCAUUUCUAUAGUUCGUUACUAGAGAAGUUUCUCUGAACGUGUAGAGCACCGCU